UACGUAGGGAGCAAGCGUUAUCCGGAUUUACUGGGUGUAAAGGGCGAGUAGGCGGAUUGGCAAGUUGGGAGUGAAAUGUCGGGGCUUAACCCCGGAACUGCUUCCAAAACUGUUGAUCUUGAGUGAUGGAGAGGCAGGCGGAAUUCCCAGUGUAGCGGUGAAAUGCGUAGAUAUUGGGAGGAACACCAGUGGCGAAGGCGGCCUGCUGGACAUUAACUGACGCUGAGGAGCGAAAGCGUGGGGAGCAAACAGG
rnacentral:rRNA from 2 species